rnacentral:tRNA from 1 species
CGGGCCGUAGUAUACCGGUAGUACAAGCGGUUUGGGACCGUUUAGACCGCGUUCGAUUCGCGGCGGCCCGA